UACAUGCUAAAAACCUCGACUUCGGAAGGGGUGUAUUUAUUAGAUAAAAAACCAAUGCCCUUCGGGGCUCCUUGGUGAUUCAUAAUAACUUAACGAAUCGCAUGGCCUUGUGCCGGCGAUGGUUCAUUCAAAUUUCUGCCCUAUCAACUUUCGAUGGUAGGAUAGUGGCCUACCAUGGUUUCAACGGGUAACGGGGAAUUAGGGUUCUAUUCCGGAGAGGGAGCCUGAGAAACGGCUGCCACAUCCAAGGAAGGCAGCAGGCGCGCAAAUUACCCAAUCCCGACACGGGGAGGUAGUGACAAUAAAUACUGAUACAGGGCUCUUUUGGGUCUUGUAAUUGGAAUGAGUACAAUUUAAAUCCCUUAACGAGGAACAAUUGGAGGGCAAGUCUGGUGCCAGCAGCCGCGGUAAUUCCAGCUCCAAUAGCGUAUAUUAAAGUUGUUGCAGUUAAAAAGCUCGUAGUUGAACCUUGAGCCUGGCUGGCCGGUCCGCCUCACCGCGUGCAAGGGUCCGGCCGGCCUUUUCUCUGUGGGGAGCCGCAUGCCCUUCACGGGGUGGGUCGGGGAACCAGGACUUUUACUUUGAAAAAAUUAGAGUGUUCAAAGCAGGCCUAUGCUCGAAUACAUUAGCAUGGAAUAAUAGAAUAGGACGUGUGGUUCUAUUUUGUUGGUUUCUAGGACCGCCGUAAUGAUUAAUAGGGAUAGUCGGGGGCAUCAGUAUUCAAUUGUCAGAGGUGAAAUUCUUGGAUUUAUUGAAGACUAACUACUGCGAAAGCAUUUGCCAAGGAUGUUUUCAUUAAUCAGUGAACGAAAGUUAGGGGAUCGAAGACGAUCAGAAACCGUUGUAGUCUUAACCAUAAACUAUGCCGACUAGGGAUCGGGCGAUGUU
rnacentral:rRNA from 1 species